rnacentral:lncRNA from 1 species
CGGAGGUUCACAUUAGGCUAUUUGCCCACGGUCACACAGCUGGCAGGUGUAGAUCAGGAAAUGGACGCAGGCCCUGCAGGCCCAACGUUCACUGUUCCUCGCUCUCUCCUUACUGCUCCUCCCACCACCCUUCCCCAGGACACCUGCAGGUGGAACCGGAGCUAUGGAGGUUGGUCCCACCCAACCCCCACAACAUAGCAAUCAGCUGUGGAACUUUGCUUCACCCCAGGCAUGUGGUCAUAGGAAGUGAGGGUUUAGAAGCACAGGCUCAGAGGUCACCAGGCUGGGUUAAAUCUCAGCUCUGCUCCUUACUGGCCGUGUGGCCUUGGGUUAGUCACUGACUUCAGUUUUGUCCCUUGUUUGCUGUACGAGGGACUNNNNNNNNNNNNNNCCUUCCUGUGUUCUAAUAGGUAUAAAUCAGCUACACUGUGUCUCUUUAAGGUCAGUUAAUGUACUCACCUCCAGGAUCACCUGGCUGAUAAACAAGAGGGUCUCAGCCUCCAUCCCCCACAUCCCCUGAAUCAGAAUGCCCAGAUGGGUCUGGGCCUCCUGCACUGGCAGCAAGUUCUGCGUGUCCCACCAAGUUUAAUGGCACAGAGGUCAAGGACUAGGGUCAUAGCCUGCCAGACCGGGGACUCGGGCGCCACCGGGGCGUCAAAUUCACAUCAACCAGCAUCAAUCUCUGAUCAUUUCCUGGAGCCUCAGGCUGUACCUGACACUGCUGGGAGAAGGAAGACCUNNNNNNNAAGUGGACUCCCUCUAGGAGCUUUGCAGAUCGCGUUGGAACUGGCCGUCCACCCAUGUCCGAUAUAAAAGCACUCUCCAGAUAGACAUGGACUAAACGUAAAAGGGAGAACCAUGAAGGAGGCUGACUUCACAGCCCAGAAGAAGGGAAGGAUAUUUUAAGCAAGGCCUUCAAAACAGAUAAGUCAGAAGAGCCAUGGAUCUGACCAUAUUAAAAUGAAGCAUUUCUCAAUAAGAAAAGACACCGUGGUCAAAGUUAACAGUUGGGCAAAGAUAUUGGCAAAGUUUAAAUGGAUAUCUAGCAAAGUGAAGGAACCUACUGUGCAAAUCAAUAAGAAAGUCAAAUAUAGAAAACGACUAGAAAAAUGAGCAAAGGCUGUGAACAGGCAAUUUCCUGAAGAGGAAGCCUCUGGUUAAUAAGCUUUCCACGAAGUGCACAGUUUACUAAUAAUUAAGGAAAUCAAGUCAAAUCAAUGAACUGUAAAUUUAUACUCAUUAGAUCACCCAACUUCCUAAUACUUGCCAGCGACAGUAAUGGGCAAAGACGUUGGGAAGUAGGAACCCAUGUGUGGUCCCAGUGAGCAUGUGAACUGGCAGAACCAUCCUGGAGUGGUACUUGGCUGCACUGACUGAAAUAAAAUUUGUUUGUAUCUUUGAGUAAGUCCAUUCCUGGCUAUGAAACCAGGGAGGUUCUUGCAUAGAUCCCUCCCUCCCAGUUUAUGCCCCUUAUCCUGGUGUAAUUACUAAUAGUGGUUUCAUUCAUGCACUGUCAAAGUGUUCUGAUUUGGAUGAUGUAUUGAUGACUAAACAUUAGGUGGCAUCAUUACUGUGUUGGCCACAGUUACAGGGCAUAGGAGACAACUCAGGUACCUGGUACUAAGGGGGCAGACAGAAGAAAAUGUGUGGAAUUUAGUAUAUUAAACACCACGUAGCAGUGAGAAGGGAUGUACAGAGAAGGGAAGGGAAAAUCAUGGUUUUCCAAACAAAGGGCUUCGGCAGGUUGAAUUAGUAUGUAAAGGAUUACCUUGGAUAUUUUUUUAAAGAUUAUUUUUAAAGAACAGUUUUAGGUUCACAGCAAAAUUAAGAACAAGGUACAGAAAUUGGCCAUAUAUCCCCUCACUUCACAUAAUCAACACCGCCCCGCCCCCCAACCAGAGUGGUACAUUUGUUACAGUUGAUGCACCUACACUGAUACAUCAUCAGGACCAAAAGGUCACAGUUUACAUUAGGGUUCACUCUUGUACCUUCUGUGGGUUUGAAUAAAUAUAUAGAGACAUG